rnacentral:rRNA from 1 species
AUGGACGAAGGAAGAAAUUUAGCAACACUUUUCCCGCAGGAUCUCUUGCAAGAAGAAAAUAAUCUCCAAAUUCAACUUGUCAAAUUUAUUUCUCAUGAAAAUUGCAAGUUAACUCAAAGAAUUUAUCACACAAAUUGUCAAUUUGUUAUAACUUGCUUAGUAGUGAAUUGGGAACAAGAAGAAAAAGAAAAGGUUGGUGCUUCCCUUGUUGAGGUAAUAGCAAAUGAUCUUAUUCGCGAUUUCCUAAGAAUUAAGUUACUCCAGUCCACUAUUUUUUAUACACGAAAAAGGUAUGAUAGGACAAGUGCAGGACCGAUUCCCCAUAAUAGGUUAGAUCGCACCAAUAUCAAUUCUUUCUAUUCCAAGGCGAAGAUUGAAUCACUUAGCCAACAUCCAGAAGCUAUUGGCACUUUGUUGAAUCGAAAUAAAGAAUACCAAUCUUUGAUGAUUUUGUCGGCAUCCAACUGUUCUAGAAUUGGUUUAUUCAAGAAUUCAAAACAUCCCAAUGCGAUAAAAGAAUGGAAUCCUUGA